rfam:Vigna angularis cultivar Jingnong 6 scaffold291_62, whole genome shotgun sequence.
UGUCAUCGCGAUGAAGAUGCCAAAGCUCCCUCUUCUGAGAUUUGAAUUUGAGGAAAUUUGCUGGCAGAAUCGAACCAUAAAAUCUUGGCCAUCACUGAGUGA